UACGAAGGGGGCUAGCGUUGUUCGGAUUUACUGGGCGUAAAGCGCACGUAGGCGGAUCGUUAAGUCGGGGGUGAAAGCCCGAGGCUCAACCUCGGAACUGCCUUCGAUACUGCGGGUCUCGAGUCCGGGAGAGGUGAGUGGAAUUCCUAGUGUAGAGGUGAAAUUCGUAGAUAUUAGGAAGAACACCAGUGGCGAAGGCGGCUCACUGGCCCGGUACUGACGCUGAGGCGCGAAAGCGUGGGGAGCGAACAGG
rnacentral:rRNA from 1 species